GUUACGUGACAACAAUAGAACACGUCGUCUGUCGUCGAAUUCGAUCAACAUUAUUUCGACUAAACAUCUAAAUAAAAGGCUCCGCACAUUGUAGCUUUUCGCAAAUAAACACUUAUUUUUCUGAAAAUCUGUCAAGGAAAAAGCCUCAUGUUUCACACCCUCAUUGGUAUUGGCAGUAAGGAAGAAAAGAAAGCAAGUAGCAGAGCCAACCCAUGAACUACUAUAACUUAAGGAAGGGAAUCUUCGAGACUUCGACAAUUCCCAUGUCGGCCAUGUAAUUUUUUUAAUUAAAUUUAACAUAAAAAAAUAAUUAUUGACUUACCAAAUAUCCCUAUACUGAAAAUUAAACCUUAAUGAGAUAUUUAUUCUUUUCCAUAAAAAAAAAAUAAGGGAAAAGGGCGGGCCACCGGUGCCAUCUGGGAACCAAAAAUCCUAGCUCAUUGCUUGUUUUCUUUCUGCAAUUUCGAGUUGAGUUGUCAAUCGGCAAGAACAUGCGAUUUUGGUUCAUAGGUGGCUCAGUUGUCAACAGCAAGAACUUGCGAUUUUUGGCUGGUAGAUGGCACCGCCCUUUUUCCCCUCCUUCUACAAUUAAAAUCAAAUAUCUCCUUAAAUUAUGCGUUUAUGUAAAGAAAAAAAUUAUGUAGUUAGAAUAGCCUUUAAAGGUGCAUUUAAUGAUGUAAUUUUAAUUUUUUUCAUGAAAAGAGCCCACCCGACAAGCUUUAACACGGCGAGAUGGGGAAAGAAUCUAAUUUUUCUGGUAUCGCCUGCUCUGUUCGUUUCCUUUAUUACUGUUGUGAUUGGCUGUUGAAGUUUUCAAACGUGUUUCCUGAUUGGUGCACUUAUCACACACCUGCUGGAGGCUCUGGCUGCUAGUUCCGAAAUUAGACACAACGACAGACGAUUCCCCCCAUGUCGUGAACCAACCAGGGUUCUAUGACUCUGGUCUCCGUUAUUCUUUGCUUAUUCGAAGACCAGUUGCUGCCUGAGUGGCAGCAGUGCACCUCAAUUACCAUUACCAUUACCAUUACCAUUACCAUUCUGUGUUUGUUCCCCUGUCCCCUCGCCGCAUCAACAGGAAAAAAACGAAAAGGGAUUAGCCGGCUAAGUUACAGAUGUGGGCUGAGUUGACUACUGUAAUGACUGCAGGACUGACAAAAAAUUUGAUAAAUUAACUUUUGAUUGAUGGUGACAUGUGGUGCAAGGAGAAAUCCAUAUGAAACUUUGCUGCAAAGUUUACUUUUUCAGGUAGCCUAUUGACCACAUUGACUCAAUUUUUGAAAACUGUAUGUUCAAUGGGGGAAACACAUUUUGAACAAUGUUGGAUUCAUCUCAUCUGGAAAAAAUUUAUAAGUCAGAGAAAAUAAGGUUGAAUUUAAAGAACAAUUGACGAAGACAUUGGUUUUGUGUUGGCAUCUGAACCAGUAUGGAACUAAUUAGUUAUGUGGAUUCAAUUUGCUUCUGGACAGGGACUCGCAGCACAGCAGCUCUAUGGUUAUUUGCGAGUGGAAUUUUACCUGACAGCACAUAUUAGCCACAGAUCCUUGAAACAAAUGUAGGAAAAUAAAUACUGUUGCUCAAAUCCUAGAAAAUAUUUCAAAGUCAGUUCACCAGAUUGUUGACUAUAUUUUGUGUCAUUAACAUUUGAAAUAGUUCCACAUAACAUAUUUGUUAUUCCUUAAAAAUAGCUGUAUACAUCUGUUGGAUGUAAUCAAGCUUAUGAAGAAUUACCCAUGUAAAAGCAAUUCAGGCAGCAAACCUGAUGACUUGGGGGCUGAAGUACAAAAAGAGGAUGGAACAAGGUUCCAGAAGACAUGGUAUUUAAAAUCAUCUGCUAUUAAAAUCAACUCAAUGAGUGGUAAUAUGAAAGUAUUCAUUACUUAAUGCUUGAAUGACUGUUAAAGCCAUUUAGCAAUACAAAAAUUUCAUUGGUAUUCAUAAACUAAGAAUUAGGUUACACAUUUUCCCAUGUAUUUUAAAUGGAGCUAGCUAGAAUUCCACACUUCAGUAAUUUUUUUUUAUCAUGAAGUCAUUCACAAAGAUUUUGUGCAACAAAACAAAAUAAAAUUGUGGGUAGAUGGGAAAUUACUGCCAAAAACAGGAAUUCGACUACCUCAUUUUUGAAUUUAAUUCAAAAAGAAUUGACGAUCUAUCUAGCAGAUAGAUCGUUGACGUUCGCGUUUCAUUGUGCUGAAACACCCGUGCUUGUUUUGAACUAUGGUUGUAGAUAUCAAAUAGCAUGGCCAGUACUGCUGAAGGACUGUCCAAUCGAAGCUUUGAUAGAACAUGUAACAAGUAACGCAGAAGACACAAAAACGAUAAAUGUCAAAAAGCAAUUUCUUUAAUUAAAGGAAAGCCUUGACGACUUCAUAUCUAUUGAACGAUUGGGGAUCAUCCAUAGUUUUUUUUUUUUUUUUUUACAUCAGUUUGAUUACUUCUAACCACCGUUGACGAAGUCUUCCGCAGCAUGCGAAAUUGAGCAGACGAUAAUGAAGAAAAUAUGAACGUGAUGUCAGUGAAAUCUGUUUUGGCUGAUUCCUCAGUUGAUGAGCUAUUCUGAUUUCAGGACUCAACUUUAGACAAGGGAUUUAAACCAUACUGGAUAGGAGGUUUUAUUAGAAUUACAGAAGAUUUUAAUCAGAAUGUUUUGCCAGGAGCUUCGGAAGAACAUUGAUUGCAAGGAUUCUUUGGCUAAGUUUGAUAAGAAAGGCUUUCAACUAAUCUUAUUUUAUUUUCUUAAUAUGGAUUUCUAACUGUAGUGAAUUACUCAGCAUCUUUCAAACUUCAACACACAGCAUCAUUUACUUCUAUACAGUCGGAGAUCAAGUUCUGUUAAGAUGCACAGUACUUGACUUGAUCUUUGACAUUUCAUUUAUGGUUUGCAUUGCUUACUAUUACAUUCAGUUUGAUUUCACAUUUUCGAGAUCUUGAAAUUGAUUAUUUUAAUUUUAAAUUCUUCACAUGUAACAUCUUUAUUAUUGAAACAGACAAUGAUAUGAUAUGAUGCAUUGCGUUUAGCUCUUUUGGGAAUUGAUCAUCACACAAGGCAUGCAUUGAGCAGUGAUUUAAACAUAAAUGCUCACUUUUUCAUAUUCUCCAUAAGGCACGCCACGAUAACACUGUUAAGGCUAUUUCCGUGUACAAUCGACUGUAACAAUUAAUUUAAGUGCAUGUUUGAAGUGGAGCAUCUACUUGACACCUCAAAAGUCUUGAGUUUCAAACCUCAUGUAGUGGUGAAAGUAAUGAUAUACUAAUUCAAUAAAGUGUUAAACUUUA